rnacentral:rRNA from 1 species
UUGGAGGGCAAGUCUGGUGCCAGCAGCCGCGGUAAUUCCAGCUCCAAUAGCGUAUAUUAAAGUUGUUGCAGUUAAAAAGCUCGUAGUUGAAUUUCGGGGUUAGUAGGUUGGUCGUGCCUAUGGUAUGCACUGGCUUUACUGAUUCCUCCUUCUUGAAGAACUGUAAUGUCAUUAAUUUGGUGUUGCAGGGAAACAGGACUGUUACUUUGAAAAAAUUAGAGUGUUUAAAGCAGGCUUAACGCUUGAAUACAUUAGCAUGGAAUAAUGAAAUAGGACGUUUGAUCCUAUUUCGUUGGUUUCUAGGAUUGACGUAAUGAUUAAUAGGGAUAGUUGGGGGCAUUAGUAUUCAAUUGUCAGAGGUGAAAUUCUUGGAUUUAUUAAAGACUAACUACUGCGAAAGCAUUUGCCAAGGAUGUUUUCAUUAAUCAAGAACGAAAGUUAGGGGAUCGAAGACGAUCGGAUACCGUCGUAGUCUUAACCAUAAACUAUGCCGACUAGGGAUCGGAUGAUGUUAAUUUUUUAAUGACUCAUUCGGCGCCUUACGGGAAAC